AGGGGAACGCAACUCCGGGCGCGCGCGGCGCGGGAGAAGCGGAGAGGGCGACACAGCCACAGCCCACACAGGGGCCGAGGAGCAGGUGGAGAGGGGUGUGAGGCCCUGGGGUGGCCGGCAGUUGCCGACAGACGCCCAAUCUACAGUCUCGGAUCCAUCCGCGCCCGCCCGCCCUUCCUCCUCUCCAGCGGCGGUGGGUGUGAGCAGCGGCGGAGAGCGCGCCAGAGCCCGAGCGGGUUUUGCUGCUCAGAAGCGGGCUCAGCCAGACUGAAUAAAACCCGCAUCAUCUGCAAACCUGGCCGCAGCAGCUGAGUCCAGGCAUGCGAAAAAAAAAACCCAAGUGAGUGUGCGAGAGAUACAAAUGGAUCGUUUGGUGGAGAAAUACGUCUUCGUCACUGCCGCCAGGCUGGGAUUAAUUCGAUUGAAGGCUCCUCCAGGCUCCGCCAGGGAGACGGGCUCAGGAAAGCAAGAGAGAUUGCUGGGCAUGGGGGACACGCCUAUAAUCCCGGCACUCUGGA